AACCAGGCCAUCUAAAGGGGCAAAACGAUCUGUGCCACUCAUUUCACCCUACACAGUAAAUGCUCAGUUCCACUUUUCACUGCAGCCGUCCGAUUGGUGAACAUUUUUCUCACUUCCUUAUCUUCCAGCGAGUCGAUGACGUCUGGGGCCAACUAUGUGCAGGAUCCAAUGGUCAGAGGGAGCUACGGGUGUUCUUUCACGUCGACUUUCGUCUCCAGCGGCUGGACGGUGAAAACCUAGAUCGGGGCACACCCAAUCCACUCCCCAAUCCCCACCCCUCCUCUCCUCUCCAAUCCCCGUCUCUUCUCCUUCCCCAAUCACCGGCCGAUCUCUCUCCCCAGCUGCAGCCGCGCGUGAGGCCGGAGAGGCCACACCCCGAGCCGCAGAAGGCGCUGUAGAAGUGCGAGAGGGCACUCUCCCAGCCACAGAAGGCGCUGGAGAAGCGCAUCUCGGAGGUGGAUGGAGGCGAGCGCCGCGCCGCCUCUCCCCCGGGAUGGAGCCAGAUGGCCACGAGCGUUGGCCGGAGGAGGCGACGCAGGAGCACGCACCAGGGGGGGGUGCCGGGGACGCCUCGCUCUCUCCUCUUCCCCGUCCGCUCCUUUUCCUCCAUGGUCGAGCUCGAGCUCGUCUUCCCGUCGCCCUACACCACUGCAGGAGGCGUCCGCCUCCGUCUUGGUCAGUCCCAGCCUCCGUUGUUCCCCGCGCUGGACAGAGCUAGGUGCAGCAGCGUUGGGCUAAGAAGAGCAAGGAACUGGAUGACUCUGCUGCCAUGGAGGCGACGGAGUAGGUGGUCAAGGGGGAGGCUCGUGGUGCGGCAACGGAGGAGGUGGCCGAGCUGGUCCUGCUGUUUCAGGUUGCAAGGAAUGGAGGAGGACAGGGUGUGAGCCAAGGAGGGUGUCCGUUGUAGCUGUCACGGUCCACCCAUGGAUGCCGCUCUGAUGCCGCUGAGCAGAGGAGGGGGUAUGAGCCGAGGAGGGUGUCUGUCGCAGCCGUCAGCACCCUGAAUCCACGUUUUUGUUACUCAAUGACCUUUUAAUAAGUGCAUUGUUGGUUUGAUUCUUGAAAUCAGGUGGAAAUAAAUACCAGGAGUGAAUUCAGUGAGCCAUGGGGUGUGGUCUCACACCAUGUGGCAUCGACACCUUGGUGUUUUGCAUCUUUUACCUCUCACUCUUUGGUGGGUGCUUCUGUAGGAUAGGGACGACGAAGAGGGGCUAGAUGUUGCAGUGAUACAUAAUAGCAGAACCCCUGUAUGGGGUGACCAUUGCUAUCUUUGUCAUGAACUUGGAUGGGCAGUCUGAGCUUACUCUAUUUGAGAGAUCAUAUGCUUGCUAUUGCUACCGGUGAUGAGCCUGAUGGCAUCGUAUGCUAUCAAAUAAAGCUGUUUCAGAUUGAAAUCUUCAGGUUUGUUCUCUUCUCUUUAUCGGGUUUAGAAUUGCUUAUCUCUCUUGCCAUGCGAUAGUUUCAAUAUUUAUAGCAGCGGACGGAGGAAGAGGUGGAGCGGUGGCUGCAGGAAAGAUGUCUUCAAGUUCAACUCUUGUGAUUAUCUAUAUGUGACGUGCAUAGUAAGGUUUUUUCACACUGUACAGAGCCACUAGAGAACAUUAGGAGCUUAUGCUUUCCAAUUCUGAGUUGUGUGCUCUCUCACUGUUAUGUUAUGGAUAUCAGGAGGCUUACCUACCAAAGGUAGUUCUUCUUGCUAUUAGCUGUUUUAAUCUUCUUUUCACCAGUUUGGACAUGAUUUUACAGUAUUACAAAUGCAUUUUCAUCUAUACUUGUUAUGACAACAGUUCAUAUUUUAUAGGCUGCUGGUACCGUUCCCGGCAAUGACACCAUUAGAAUGGAUCAGUUGUCUUGUCUAGGCAGUAUUUGCAGAAAAGCCUAAUUUUGAUGGUUUCAGUUCUUACCUUGGGAUUAUUUAAAUCAGUAUAUUUCAGAGUUGCUUGAAAAGAUUUUAUCCAUAUUAUUUUUCUUCUUUGGAUUAUCACAAAAAUAGUGUGGUUUUCUCUCCUAUCUGUCACUCGCACAUUUCUUUCUCUUAUAUUAUAUUAGAUAACACACAUACCGAUCAAUUUGUUUUUGGUUAAUAUUGUUUUUGUGUGUGUUGGUUUCAAGCUAAAAGUGAGGAAGUGAUGAGGUGACAUGCAUAAGGGCCACCCUUUUUUUAGAACUCCAAAUGAACUCUAUUAUAUGGUAGUCGGAUAUUGUUAUAUUAGUUGUAUAAAUAAUCCUCUUAGUGUUCAUUUUUAUUUUGCCUAUUUUCCAAGUAAUCAGAUGCAGCUUGUUUUGAGAAGGCACUCAAUCAUGCUGGUCUGUUUUGUUAUGGCACCAACAUCCAAAUAGUACGAGUACCAAUGCAGCUUAUAAGAUUUUAUCAUGUUUCCUUCAGGUUGUUGUUAAUCUGAAUUUUGAAGAUCUGUUGUUUUCACAUAAAGCACACAUAUGUCUGAUUUGUAAUGCUUAAAUAUGGCACUACAGGCUGUGGUUGAGCAUCAGCCUGUGUAUUCACACAUUUUGUUUCAUCCUGUACACAAUUCAUACUCUGAGCCGUACGUUUUCGUCAUGUUUCCUUCGGGUUUGUAGUAUUGUUGGGUCAUGUACAGCCUUCUUUACAAGCAGCUCAAGAUCCCCUUCGUUGGGUAAAACUGUGAUUUCUUGAUUUUUUGACAUAUUUUGUUGUGGAUUUUUAUGAAGAAAUUACCUAUCUUUAUACUAUUUGGAAUGUCUAAUAUAUACUGAAGAUUGGUAAGCCUACCACUAAGAUAAUGCGCAGCUGUGUUUUUCCUGGUGGGUUUUCUUGGUUACAUGACUGUAUCGUGCCUCAUAUUAUCUAAGAGGAUAUGUUGGAAAAUCAUUGGCAUAAAUUCUAGCAAUUUUGCGUGCUAUGUUAGAUUAUUGAUGUCUUCCUCGAGGAAGAAGGUGUCGCGUAUCACCGGACGUUGUAGCUUGGGUUUAAGCUAGGGAUUGGGUCAUGUAUCACCAGUAUCAGGUUAUUAUUACCGCAUAAUAGUUGCAUCUGCUCCUAUUUUAUUUUGCAUAUUUAAAACAAGCAAUGAUCCAUUUCUGUGAAGCUUUAAAACAAGCUGGACGGCCGAUCGCGGUGGUCAGGUGCAGCAGUUGGGCUAGGGAGUGGUGUUCAGGUCCACACGUGAGGAGCAGGGAGUGGCACUCCGCGUACCAGCGUGUGCAGCUGAUAGCAAGUUUAGUGAGCGUUGCCGGACGUCGAGGUGGUCUGGGUGAGGCUGACUGAUAUCCGAAACCCUUUGUCGAUGUUUGAGAAGUAUCACUGUGGAGAAAGAUCGUGGUGAGAUUCAUAUUGGUGUGUUUUUGUUGCGUGCUUCCAACAUGUGUGCAGAGCUCUCGUCAUUUUUACAUGAGGAUUUUGCUGCUAGGAUUUGGGUGUUCAGAAGAUUCAGAGACAGCGACGGCCAUCUGCAGGUAUGGUUAUCCUACUGACCUCUCUUCUUCUCUAUCUUCCAUACGCACUAGCAUUAUUCCCUCUUUUUGCUUGUAUUUUUUCAUGGGUGGAGGUGAUUGUAUAAUUUUUUAUCAUGUCUUAAUGCCUUUAACUUGGUCUAAUUUGGUUCAUCUUACAACCUCAAAUUCCGAAAUUCAUUCGAAAAUACCCCUUUCUCCAACUUUAUUGAUUUUGACCUUUUUAUUUUGCCAUGUCACCGGUUUUUUAGUAAGUGCAUGCACUACGGCUUCACAGUACACAUUGUUUGUACUACAUACAUGUGUAUUCUUCCCUGAUACAAGCUAGAAAACCAGAUAUGGCAAUCAGCGAGGACCGCCUCCACCGCUGCAUGGACCCUGCUUGGAUGCUGUUCUCUCCCCGCUGGCGAGCCAGCUACUGUAAUUUUUAGAAAUAUAUUUGCAAGCAUGUUGUUGAAGCCCUGAUGGAUAUAUUAUACAUUAAUGUAUGACUUGGCAUUCACAUAUAUGCUUGUAUUUUUGGAAUGGUCAUGAAUGAAAAGGUUGCUCAAAUUUUUGAUGGAUAUUUCCCCCUUGCUUUUUUACCUGUAACCCUAUUUUUGGUCAGUAUAAAUAUAUUGGAAGUUACAGUCUUGGUGGUGGCCUGGUUGCAGGUCUAAUAUCUUGUGUGAACAAAUAAGUCACAUGAUUUCUCUGUUUGUGUAAUUCCAUUUUCUCAUGGCUUCUCCCAUUCAACAGGUAACUAGCAUUGAAUCUUUACAUUGUUUGGCCAAAUUGAGAAGUGAACUUGGACUAAUAGCUUUCAUGUAUAUGUGUAUUUUUUAUAUAUUUUUUUGCCUUCAUUUCCUGUCUGUUAGAACAUGUUAUUCUGAGUAAACUUACGAAAACUAUAUAGCUUCUGUUGGAUAUAGCAUUCAGAACGUCACCACUUACCUUGGAUUUCUGAAUCUUUUCAGAGGACAUGUUUUUGAAAAAUAUAUGCAAUGCUUUUGUCAUAGAAUUGGUGAGCAAUUUAGAUAGAUAUGUCGAUCCUGCUGUUACUAGCCUUUCUUACAAUGUUGUCGAUUCUCUUGCAGAUCUAGCUAUGAUGUUGCUGUCAAGGGCCCAAAGAAGUAGUGAAUCAGAGAGGGACAAGAGGGCGAGGAUGUUAUUAACACAGAAAACAAAGAGGAAUAUCAGUGUCUGGAGGAAGCUUCAUCGCCACCGUCCCUUGCUUCUUGCCGUCUUCCAACGCCAGGGAUGAUACAUAUAUCUCUACAAAUGUUGUGCAGAUGUUUUAGUGUCUAUACAAGAGUACCCAACUUAUAUAUUGUUAACUGUCGAGAGACUGAUAUUGAUAUUAUAUUUAUGAAGUAAAUUCAAUGCAGUUUUACAUAUCGAAUAUGUGAAAUGACACAUUAUUUACAUAUUUUAUCCAAGUAUAUGCUUGUGUUUAUGAAAUUCACCAUGGUCACCAUGAGUAUGAGUAGUGGGCCAUAUUGUAGUCCAUGGACAUAUACAUAGUAGUGCGAGACAAUAUUGCUUGCGUAAUUAGCACAAGUAGUUAUUUCACUAAGUCUAAAAACCUCAAUAGCCAUAAUGUGAUCACAUUGCUUGAGUAUUGUUGUUCUUUUCCCAUUUGUGUCGGGGCGCAACUGGUCAUCUCUUUUUGUAUUUGUUUGAUAGGCUUAAUAUCGGAGGAACCGACGGUAAUUACUUAUAGUGGUAAUUAUUUAUAGUGGUAAUUAUUUAUAGUG